AUUGAACGCUGGCGGCAGGCCUAACACAUGCAAGUCGAGCGCGCGGCGGACGGGUGAGUAAUGUAUGGGGACUGCCCGAUAGAGGGGGAUAACUACUGGAAACGGUAGCUAAUACCGCAUACUAUCGGAUAACCCAUAUGGGAUUAGCUAGUAGGUGAGGUACUGGCUCACCUAAGCGACGAUCCCUAGCUGGUCUGAGAGGCUGAUCAGCAACACUGGGACUGAGACACGGCCCAGACUCCGACGGAGGCAGCAGUGGGGAAUAGUGAACAAUGGGAGCAAGCCUGAUGCAGUCAUGCCGCGUGUAUGAAGAAGGCCUUCGGGUUGUAAAGGAAUUUCAGUCGGGAGGCGUGCCCGACAGAAGAAGCACCGGCUAAGUCCGAGCCAGCAGCGGCGGUAAUA
rnacentral:rRNA from 1 species